AAGGAUUGUACCUUUAAGGAUAGAUUUCACAAUGUUAAGGUCUAAUUGAAUCUUGUUAGUUUUGAUUUUCAAAUGUUUUGAUAUAACAAAAUAAAUGCUAAAAUGACUUAAUCAAAUUUGCAAAAUUUUUCUUAAAGUUUCUAAAAUUAUUUUCAAGUGUUACAUGUAACACCUCAAUUUUGGUGAAUCUAAAGUUUUGGGCGUAUAGAAGUAGACAGUCUGUUUGGUGUGGUGUUAUCUGCCCAAAUGACCAUUUUGGCGC
rnacentral:lncRNA from 1 species